UACGUAGGGGGCUAGCGUUGCUCGGAAUUACUGGGCGUAAAGGGCGCGUAGGCGGAUGUUUAAGUCAGGGGUAAAAUCCCAGGGCUCAACCCUGGAACUGCCUUUGAUACUGGACAUCUUGAGUACGGGAGAGGUGUGUGGAACUCCGAGUGUAGAGGUGAAAUUCGUAGAUAUUCGGAAGAACACCAGUGGCGAAGGCGACACACUGGCCCGUUACUGACGCUGAGGCGCGAAAGCGUGGGGAUCAAACAGG
rnacentral:rRNA from 1 species